CACUGAGGGAGUUUGAUUAACCUGAACCGUGGUGCACCGGGCUUUGUCCCGUGACGGGAACAGAUAAAAGGGGGAAAGGAGGGGCAUCUUUCUUAACUCUACGUGCAUAACUUUCGUCACUUUUAUUGAAAGUGAGGCCCAGGAGGCAGCCUCUUCCAAAACGAAUGCAAGCACUUUUCACCCAUGUUAACAUCAGUUUACGUUCAUUUGCAAGUGGCUGAAUCUCAACAGAGAAACCAUCUGAGCGAGGAAAACGCCCCUCUGUCUCAGGAUGUGUCUGAUGCCGUCUGGACCAAAAUAGAAGAUAUAACAUGUUGCCGCCGUAGCAGUUGAUUGAUGCCAGCAAGCAUUUAGCCUCUCUUGAUAAAAACGAUAUAACAUAAUUAGCUAAUCAGCGUUGAGCUGAAAUUUGGGUUGUCCUGGUGCAGCAAAACAGCCCCAAGGGAUACACCAAUCAAAUCACAUCCUAAGAAAAAGUGUAGGCAUGGAGGGUCUUCUGCCCGAGUUGGAGCAUUUGGUGAGAUCUUUGUCAGAGCAUCUGAGGGCCAAUGUUGUAGUGGAGAAUAUUUAAGACCUUGAAUAUGUUCAACCGGAAGAUAUAAAAUACCAUUUGACGCCAAUAUAGUGCCGGGAAUUGCUUCAGUCCUUCAACCAAAGAGGAGAACCUUUUGAAGAUCCCUUUCUGAUUCCAGAAAAUGAAGAAAGGAUAUUAUCUGUAACAAUGGAUAGGACUCUUGUCCUCCUCCAAGCAUCAGUGACCUCCAGGAACAGUGGCCUUUCCUUUCACCAAGUUAUGGCUCUGCGACCACUUCAAAACCCUCCCUGGCGUCGUGGUUGACAGUCGCCUGACUCAAGCUCUCCCGAACAAGAGUAAGAGAAUUGUCAACAUUUUUAAAAGCCAAAAGGCCAUUCUGCCAUUCUUCUGUUGAUGACCCACUUCAGAGAGGAGGAUUGGUCCUGUUUCUCUUGGCAGAUGUAAAGAAUAGUGUUUUUAGACUUAUAAAGUCGAUAUGAUUAAUGGUGUUUAUACUGCACUAUUACACAUGAUAUUUUUAAUGUUUUGUGAUUUUAGGUCACUGCAACUCGGGUUGAUGUCGAGGUGCGAAUUCCUUUGCCAUUUCAUAUCCAACAUUUUUAUGCAAGUAAAGUCCAGGUCAGAUAAAGAAUGUUAUGACAGGCAUGGAAACAAACCAAAUUCAAACAGAAUUUGGGCAGGUAGUGUUCUCCUGGCAUCCUCCAAACUCAUAUUCAUCUGUCGGACUACCAGAUGAAGCUUGAUUCAACACUCCAGAGAACGUGUUUCCACUGCUCCAGAGUCCAAUGGCGAUGAGCUUUACACCACUCCAGCCGACGCUUUG